rnacentral:rRNA from 1 species
UGGUGCACCAGUUGUCGUGCCAACGGCACAGCUGGGUAGCUACGUCUGGACGAGAUAAACGCUGAAGGCAUCUAAGCGUGAAACUCCCCCUAAGAUAAGAUCUCCCAUCCGAAAGGAGUAAGGGUCGAAGAAGACUACUUCGUUGAUAGGCCAGCGGUGUACGCACAGCAAUGUGUUCAGCCUACUGGUACUAAUAACCCGAGGGCUUGACCUA